rnacentral:rRNA from 1 species
AUUGAACGCUGGCGGCAGGCCUAACACAUGCACGUCGAGCGAGCGGCGGACGUGUGAGUAAUGUAUGGGGACUGCCCGAUCGAGGGGGAUAACUACUGGAAACGGUGGCUAAUACCGCAUACUAUCGGAUAACCCAUAUGGGAUGAGCUAGUAGGUGGGGUAAAGGCUCACCUAGGGGACGAUCUCUAGCUGGUCUGAGAGGAUGAUCAGCCACACGGGGAAUGAGACACGGCCCGGACCCUUACGGAGCAAGCAGUGGGGAAUAUUGCAAAAUGGGCGCAAGCCUGAUGAAGCCAUGCCGCGUGUAUGAAGCAGGCCUUAGGGUUGUAAAGUACUUUCAGCGGGGAGGCGUUACCAGCAGAAGAAGCACCGGCUAACUCCGUGCAAGCAGCCGCGGUAAUAC